CAACAAUCAUUUUACGUCUCCAGCCCCCAUAACCACUACCCGAGAAGGGAGUGGGAACGAGAGAUACCCCAGGUACAUCAGAAGAAUAUAAAAAAAGGGGACUGGAAGAGUCUACAGAAGGGGAGGCACCAGUACUUGUGUUAGAAGCCACAGUCAAUGAACCGGCUUAAAAGAACAACUUUUCAACAAACAGAAUACAACAAAAACAUGUAUUCACUCACAACAACCAACAAACAGAAUAUAGCCAAGUCAGGUAUUCACAGAAAACAUCAGAUGCUCACAAGUACAGAGUCAAAUAAUCACAUACAAUACCGAAGAUAAGGACAGGGUUACCCUCCUUCUUCGCGACCGGAGAAGAUCGGCCUCCAAACAACAAAGAAACCCUAGGUACAAAACCCUAGGUGUAACCUUGGAAAUCCUUACUGAAAAUGUGGUCAGGAACGUCGGAGAGGCACCCAAAACGUCCAAUAAGUAAGAAUCGAGCCACCGAAAAGCAGUAGAACCCUAGGUUAAACCACCAAAAACCCUAGAAGCCGAUAGGUCACCAAAAUCAACCAAAAAUCAUCAUAAAAUCUUCCGGAAUGUUCAGGAGAAGAAAAUACACUCCGAUAUCACGAUGAAAGACUCAGAAGAGUCUCCGAUAUGUUGAAGUCUUCAUCGACCGUGAGGUCUCAGAAAUCACACCCAAAAACCUCGAAACAGACUUCAUCCAAGACCACGAAGCACAUAGAAACAUGAUCGGAUCGUCGUCAAGGCUCUGAUACCAUGUAAACAUCGAGAUUAAACCGAUGAACCAUGAAUAUUAUAGAGAGAGAAAGUAGAGAGAAGGAG
rnacentral:lncRNA from 1 species